GGGAUCUAUUAGCAGCUAUGUUUUGCUUGUUGUAGAGUGCCCAUUUACAGUGCAUUAUAGGGAGCCUACUUAAGUAAUGUGCUGAAUAAUUCUUUAUAUGUUCUACUCAGAGACAGUUCAUGGAAAAUCUUUUAUAACUUGUCAGCGGGCCAUCACAGUAGGUGAUAUGCCGUCAAGUCCAAGAGGCUCACCAUUUCAACAAAACCAGCUGACUAAAUGUUUUAUGAUGAAAAAUUUAUAAAACAUAGCAAGAGGAGAGAAUAUUCAACAAUGAGACAAAGGAAAUGAGCAAAAACUCGUGGAUGAGACUGUGCAAGCCCUGUUCUCAGGACCAUAAAACUUGUACUGAAGCUGAGGAUUUGAGGAAAGGAGUUAAUUUUACAACUGGUGAUCACCCCUACCUUGCUGAAUAAUCCUCCACUGAUGGCCACCGUGAACACGGGAGUCAGACUAUGUCCAUCACAUGGAUCAGAUUCCCCAGGCACCUCGUACAAUUGAGCACUUGAAUUGCAAAUCUCAACUUCUAAUGACAGCUCCUCCUGUCCAAUUUAUUUUAACUCUGAUAUCAACUAUUUCUCCUGUACCCCUUGUCUUAGAAUGCUUACAUUUUCAAUUUUUCAAUAAAAAUGCAUAAUCUUCCCCAGCAAA
rnacentral:lncRNA from 1 species